AACGAACGCUGGCGGCAUGCCUAACACAUGCCAGUCGAACGAGACCUUCGGGUCUAGUGGCGCACGGGUGCGUAACGCGUGGGAACCUGCCCUUAGGUUCGGAAUAACUCCCCGAAAGGGGUGCUAAUACCGGAUAAUGUCUUCGGACCAAAGAUUUAUCGCCUUUGGAUGGGCCCGCGUUGGAUUAGCUAGUUGGUAGGGUAAAAGCCUACCAAGGCGACGAUCCAUAGCUGGUCUGAGAGGAUGAUCAGCCACACUGGGACUGAGACACGGCCCAGACUCCUACGGGAGGCAGCAGUGGGGAAUAUUGGACAAUGGGCGAAAGCCUGAUCCAGCAAUGCCGCGUGAGUGAUGAAGGCCUUAGGGUUGUAAAGCUCUUUUACCCGGGAUGAUAAUGGCAGUACCGGGAGAAUAAGCGCCGGCUAACUCCGUG
rnacentral:rRNA from 1 species